rnacentral:rRNA from 1 species
UUGAACGCUGGCGGCAUGCUUUACACAUGCAAGUCGUGCGGCAGCGCGGGACUCAGGCAACUGAGCCCUGGCGGCGAGCGGCGAACGGGUGAGGAAUACAUCGGAACGUACCCCGGAGUGGGGGAUAACCCAGCGAAAGUUGGACUAAUACCGCAUAUGCUCUGAGGAGGAAAGCAGGGGACUUCGCAAGAGGCCUUGCGCUCUGGGAGCGGCCGAUGUCCGAUUAGCUAGUUGGUGGGGUAAUGGCUCACCAAGGCGACGAUCGGUAGCUGGUCUGAGAGGAUGAUCAGCCACACUGGGACUGAGACACGGCCCAGACUCCUACGGGAGGCAGCAGUGGGGAAUUUUGGACAAUGGGGGCAACCCUGAUCCAGCCAUGCCGCGUGCGGGAAGAAGGCCUUCGGUUGU